rnacentral:tRNA from 1 species
GGGGACAGAGCUCAGUUGGUAGAGUGCUUGCCUCAAAUGCACAAGGCCCUGGGUUCAAUCCCCA